ensembl:lncRNA
AUGGAGGACACACAAGGACUUGCUGGAAGCUACUCCGCCAGAGGCAGGGGGCUGGGAGAGGAACCCUGGUGUCACCUCCAGCCCUCUGCUCUUCCGGCCACGCCGUGCUCUACUCCAGAGGCAGGGGGCCAACUAGAGGCGGGGCAGGGGCUGAAACAGAGGGCACCCUCUCGGGGCCCCGAGCCAUCUGACCCUGGGGAGCUGCCCUUCUCUGACCUGUGCCACAGGGAAGACCCACCCACCCAGCCUGAGCCAAGUCAUGAGAUGACCCUGACAAAUCACAACAUGUGUAUCAAAGUGGUGUCGGAAAGGCUCGCUGGAGAACACGGGUGCUGGACACAGCCAGGUGCUGGGUGUGCGAUCAGACUCUUGCUUCUCGCAGACGCAGAUGUCACCUUCUCAGGGCGACCCCGGGCACCUCAUCACAGCACAUCGCCACCGGCUGAGCCUGCUGUGAAGCCUCUCCAGUGCAGAGAGCUCCCAGGACAGGUCACGGGGGUUACACCUGUCUCCCAACUACCUGUGAGACUUGGUGUGAGCAGAGACCCAGGGAAACCACUUUGGAAGGGUGAAGCCUCAUACCAUGAGAUGUCACUGUUACUAACAACAUCACCCCCACACCCUCACCAGGCAGGGACUCGUGAAAUGCUUGUGGAAUUAAACCGAGCUGUUUCCAAGAGGUGCUGUUUGAAGAAUGACAUCUUGAACUCUAGGUGAGGAAGACUGACAUUUAGCCUCCUGGAUUAGCACAGACUCGGGGUCAGAGCCUGGAGAAUGGAACAUCCUUUAAUGGAAGGGUUGAAAGCAACUGGGAAGCCUUCAGAAUAGACCCACCCUGCAGUUCUGUUCGGUGAACGCCUCCACUGCGGGACCCCUCGGGUGUCCACCAGAGCUAGUGAAUCACAGUGAAGACGUGAUUCAGCGCCUGAGCGAAUGCCACAUACAUAAUACCUUUCAAGAAGACAUAUUUUUAUUGCUGCACUUGAGGACAGCCCCUCGGAAUCCAGAGUUCAUCAAAUCGAUGCNNNNNNNNNNNNNNNNNNNNNNNNNNNNNNNNNNNNNNNNNNNNNNNNNNNNNNNAAGGGGGGGAGUAGGGUCUCUGCCUGACCAGCACGCCCUGCAGUUCAUACCGGAGAUCCUCUCCCUCCAAGCUGAAGCUGAACUGGGGUGAAGAUGCCUGCUUCACAUGGCGUUUGUGUUGUGCUGAGAACUCCAAAGAAGGAAAAAAAAAAAAACCCUGCGGUAUUUAUGAUGGGCCUGUUAUUUACGCGGAAGUGCUUGUUGCUUGACAAUUUAGAUAAAAAUGUUACUGCUUCUCUGCAUGUGCUGCAAAUUCAUGGCGUAAAACCACUGGAGCAACUAAUGGAGUCUUCACACAUCAUAUCUUGUUAAAGACAAGAGGUCCUUCCUCCAUGGGGGUCACAGCCCAGUGGUGGGGGGGGCCACCCCCGGAACGCAGCCUGGCCACCGAGGGCUGCUGACCAACUACCCACAGCUCCCGCUUUUUUUAAAAAAAAGAAAAAACAUGAACUCUGUUUUCAAUUAGCCUGGCCACCAAGGGCUACUGACCAACUCCUACAGCUUCCUCUUUUUUGUUUUUUUUAAAGUGAACUCUGUUUUCAAACAGCAAGGUCCUACAGAUGCUGGUUUCCGAUUUAUCCUCUAGUCCAGCAAUGGUGGAAGAAACGCUGGACACUCACACACAAUUUGUAUCUCUCUACUUCUGACCAAGGAACAACCUGUCUACUCCUAGGAAGUCCUGGGGAAAAACGUCUCCAAGCCCUCGACCGUGCUUCCAAAAGUAACUGAAAAAAAUUCCAGUGCCAAGGGCACACAUGGGAAAUUGAUGGCUAGGCACCAAAAGAUAUUACUCAAUGCUAUUGUAUUUCUAACAAAUGUGGAUAAUGAGGUCAUCCGUCCAUUUUACUAUCCAGUUCAUCACUUUCACCAGUGCACUUUUAAUUGAAACUUAACCUUUAUAUGCCAUCACCCAAGCCGCAGCAGGACAGAAACACAUCUCCGGAGGGGAAGAUGGUGUGAGUUUUUCCCCCAAGCAAACCUCUCAAGCAACACUACCCUUACUUUUCUGUUGAGUUGAAAGCAAACUCUGAAACACUACUGGCUUUUUCAGCUCUGAUCGUCCAUUCCAGCUCCUUGGGCAGGUGCUGGGAUAACCAAGCAGAGCCCAUCACCCCUCUUCGAGAGACCCCCGGUGCAGCACUUAAUCACCUCCAAGGGCUCAUUCCUCUGACCCUUUCCCCAGCCAAGCUGCCAAUCUCCACCAAACUCUCCCAAGGAGACAGAGGUGAGUAAAUGUUAAGUCUACUAACUCAUUUCAUAGGUGACCUCUGAAAGAUUCCACCGCGGAGCUCGGGAGAGCCGAGGCAGCUUUAUUAGCAUGCUACACCACGGCCCCAGCUCCCUCCCUCCCUCUUUUAUGAGCCCCUGCUAUAUAAAAUGCCACAAAGGAAAAAGGAAAAACAACCCGCUCACAGUGACAAACACAAGUUCCUAUGGCCAGGACAAACGCUGGCCGCUUCCCAGACGUUAUUUUUAGUCAUCUCAGACAGAAAUAUUUUUAAAAGGUCAGGGAACAAAAGUUUUCCUUGUUCUCUUUCUUCCUUUUUUUAAACACACACUCACACACACAAAAAAGAUGGAGGUACAUUCCGUUCAGCAGCAUCCUUCCCCGAGUUCAGAUUUAAAGGCAAAGGCAGACCGGAGUAGGACGGCUCCUCCCCGCACCCCCCGCCCCCACCAGCGGCACCCGCAACCUUCAAACACGAUUUUCAAAUGUUUCUCUCCCCGGCCUCAUCUAAAUUCAGGCAUGACAGAUAAUAAAUAGCUACUCAUUUACUAUCACCAUAAAAAUUUAAACAGCCUGGAAAUAGUUGCUACAAUACAGAAAGGAGCAAACCUAAGCUCCGAAAAGCCACUCCAAAUAGUGAAACUACUGCCACGUAUUGUAGAAACACACAUAAAGAGACAUUGUUGCGAGGAGAGCUGCCGGCUUAGAGGAAUUUUCUCUUUUAAACCUUCUCCUCGGAGCAGAAGAGUCAACAACUUGCCGUCUUACCCAGUGGGGGGAAAAAAAGGAGCUUAGGAACCCGCAUCUAUCACAAGGUACCAGAUUUGGUGAUGGAUUUUUUAUUUUUAAGUAUGUGAUUUGAUUUCACACAGUGAUUAAACAUCUUUGUGCUCAGCGCAGAAGGGUCUCCCAACCCCUCCCCCUCCAAAAAUGGCAUCAAAGCAAUCAAAAUGGUAAUGCCGGGCCUGGGUCCCCUCCCCCGCCCCCCCCCCCCAGCGCGAACUCCCCGACUUCGCCGGAGCCGCGCGCCGGGCGCCCCCCNCCCGGGCGGGGGCGCGCGGCCGGGGAGGGGGGCCGCGGCACCGCGGGAAAGGGGUUAACGCGUUCGUCCCCACCAGCGCGUCCAGCCCGACGCCCCCGACCAGGAGCCGACCCGCGGCCGCAGCCGUCUUUCUUUCCGCAGCCCCCGGCCCCCUCCUUCUCUUGUGCACGCCCCCCCUUCCACCACUUUGCAACUUUAAAAAGAUUCGAAACGCACACCCGGCCUCCGAGUUCUCCCUCGCCGGGGUCGCCGCCAACCCCCGCCAGCCACGUCCACGUCUCGCCCCUACACCGACCAUCCCUCCGGGGAGCAGGGGGGUACUUCGGAUCUAGCCCGCCCCCGACCCGGAGUUGAGGGAGCGAGAAGGGGACCAGAUCGGGGGGCGGGGGCGGGGGCGGUCCAAGUUUGAAGCUGACGCCGGCGGCCGGCAUUCCGAAGGAAGCGCGAUCGAAGGCCCG